rnacentral:rRNA from 1 species
UACAGAGGUCCCAAGCGUUGUCCGGAUUCAUUGGGCGUAAAGAGCUCGUAGGCGGUUCGGUAAGUCGGGUGUGAAACCUCCAGGCUCAACCUGGAGACGCCACCCGAUACUGCUGUGACUAGAGUCCAGUAGGGGAGCGUGGAAUUCCUGGUGUAGCGGUGAAAUGCGCAGAUAUCAGGAGGAACACCAGCGGCGAAGGCGGCGCUCUGGGCUGGAACUGACACUGAGGAGCGAAAGCGUGGGGAGCGAACAGG